AUAAUUUAGUAGUAAGUGAAAAUCAUGAAACUAAAAUUAAUUGGCGGCUUUUUAAAUAUUUUAGAGAAAUUUAUUCUUUAAAGGAGUCAACCCCAAAAUCUUACUUUUUUUUGUAUUAUUACAUUUCAUAUACCUCUAUUUAUUGGUUAUUAGUUUAAUUAUAAAUUUAGCUUUUUUAGAUAAAUCUUAGGGAAAGGUGUGGAUAAUAGAAAAGAGUGAAAUAAGUUUCAUUAAUUAGUAUUUAAUGAUUUAUUUUUGUAAUAAAAAUAAAAAAUAGAAUUUAAAAGUAAUAUUAGUAUAUUUUGCUAAUUUGAAUUAGUUUUUAAAAGUGUACAUAUUGCCCGCCCCUCUCUUAUUAGAGAUAAGUCG
rnacentral:rRNA from 1 species